rnacentral:lncRNA from 1 species
CUUGACUCAGCACCUGAGACACACAAAUGCUCGAGAAAGGCUGGAGAUUGUUUUUAAGCAACAAGGCAAUUUAUUAGUAACUGAAAAGCAAGCCGUAGGGAAGCCAGGGCUUGUGAAGCUCACGAGAUACUUAGAUGACGUCAGAGCCUAACGGAUCAUCUUCCACAGCACCUUCCACAACAGCAACAUUGUCUACAACUGCACAGUCAGCAGCUUGAGGGAGCCCUUCAAAGGCAGAAACAAUCCAAGAUGGCUGACGAGAAUUCUCAGAGCAUUGGAAGA